rnacentral:rRNA from 1 species
ACACAUGCAAGUCGAGGGGCAGCACGGUGUAGCAAUACACUGGUGGCGACCGGCGCACGGGUGAGUAACACGUGUGCAACCAACCCCGUACCGGGAGAUAACCCGCGGAAACGUGGACUAACAUCCCAUAAUACUGGAGGAUCGCAUGAUCUUUCAUUUAAAAUUCCGGUGGUACGGGACGGGCACGCGCGACAUUAGGUAGUUGGCGGGGUAACGGCCCACCAAGCCGACGAUGUCUAGGGGUUCUGAGAGGAAGGUCCCCCACACUGGAACUGAGACACGGUCCAGACUCCUACGGGAGGCAGCAGUGAGGAAUAUUGGUCAAUGGGCGCGAGCCUGAACCAGCCAAGUCGCGUGAGGGAAGAAUGGUCCAUGGCCUGUAAACCUCUUUUGUCAAGGAAGAAUAAAUUGCACGUGUGCGAUCUUGCCAGUACUUGACGAAUAAGCAUCGGCUAACUCCGUGCCAGCAGCCGCGGUAAUACGGGGGAUGCGAGCGUUAUCCGGAUUUAUUGGGUUUAAAGGGCGCGUAGGCGGGACGCCAAGUCAGCGGUAAAAGACUGCAGCUAAACUGUAGCACGCCGUUGAAACUGGCGCCCUCGAGACGAGACGAGGGAGGCGGAACAAGUGAAGUAGCGGUGAAAUGCUUAGAUAUCACUUGGAACCCCGAUAGCGAAGGCAGCUUCCCAGGCUCGAUCUGACGCUGAUGCGCGAGAGCGUGGGUAGCGAACAGGAUUAGAUACCCUGGUAGUCCACGCCGUAAACGAUGCUCACUGGAUCUUGGCGAUACACUGCCAGG